rnacentral:rRNA from 1 species
GACGUAGGGGCGCAAGCGUUGUCCGGAUUUAUUGGGCGUAAAGAGCUCGUAGGCGGCUUGUUGCGUCGUCCGUGAAAACCCUGUGGCUCAACUACAGGCUUGCGGUCGAUACGGGCGGGCUGGAGUUCGGUGAGGGGAGACUGGAAUUCCUGGUGUAGCGGUGAAAAUGCGCAGAUAUCAGGAGGAACACCAUGGCGAAGGCAGCUCGCUGGAACGGUACUGACGCUGAGGCGACGAAGGACGUGGGGAGCAAACAGG